ACAGCUGGCGCGGCUGUGUACUACAAUUCAGGAAAUGGUAGGUUUCCUUCAAAAGUAAUCUGAACACUGGAUCUUUUAUCUUGCUUAGUCACAAAACCAGAGAUUUUUAUCUUACAAGCAUGAAAUGUAGAAUGAAGUUCCAGAUGUCAGAGGUGUAUUGA
rnacentral:lncRNA from 1 species